rnacentral:lncRNA from 1 species
CAGAACCCGUUCUCUCCCACACCCACUCAGGAUUACUAUAGAAGAGAGCUCUGGCUUCUCAUGGGUAUGGGCUACGUUCCAUCGGUUGCGAGGCUCCCAGUCAACCGGGGAACCUAAAGGAUAAAAGCUAUAUGUUGCAUGGAGAGAUCAUGCUGCUGGUUCUGGUCAUGCUCUUUGCUCUCUUUCUCUCCUGCCUGCUGCUCUGCCUUUACCUGAGACGCCGACGAAGGGUUCAACGAGAGGAGUCGGACUCGGUGGAGCUUGGCGAGGUGGCUUAGAAAGGACAGGAACGUGUGGGCUCGGCGAUGUACCACGGUCCAUGGGCGAGGUCCGAGCCGUUGGCCUUCAGCGAGGUUUCAUGGUGGACCACCCACUAGAGUGUGCAGACCCAGCGGAAUAAUAUAACAGAAGGUGAGGAGUCUCAGAGCCUAUGGCGAAAUGUUCAUUUGGAACAGGAUUCAGGCUGGUGUCUCUCACGUGAGCUCUAGGUGUGUACCAUCUUGUAAUGCUAGGAGAUCUCGUUGUAACACGCGUCUCCUAUUUGUGGAACUUUGGUGGCUUAUGGCUUCAAGUUUGAACAAUGAC